GUUACCUUGCUUCUCUCUUACUAUUCAUCUUUCCUAAACACCAGUUGGCAUCAUGACCACAUUUCAUGUAUUGUAUCCAGGGUCUUUUCUUUCUUUUUUUUCUUUUUUGUCCUUUUAUUUCCUUUCCUCUAAUACUGAAUACUUGUUUUUACCUUUCAUUCACAUGUGGAGUAUGCCUGUCCUUGGAAGAACAUUAAAUAUAUUGAAGUAAAUCAAUCUCAUUUGUUGAUAAGAAAGCUCUCUAGAAUGGAAUGUUAUUUUUCUGUUCCUUUAUUGUUAUCAGAAUCCAAGUGAAGGGAGGAAUCAAAUUGUUUUCUAUUAUUCCUACCUAGAGUAGUGCAAGCUGUGAUGUGCAAUGGUACUUUUAACCUAUUAGAUUAAAAGCAUCCUGCCAUUUCUUCCUACAGUCUUCUCCUUUAGAACAAGGAGUUCUUUAUCUUUGUUCUCUCAAUUCAAGAUUUUAAAAAUCUGUUAUUAUCGCUUCACAGUUUCUCAGCUCUCUCUGAAUUAAUUUGCUUCACAUAAUAAAUGAACUGAGAACAUGUAGUGCGUAAAAAAGAAAUGUCAGAGAAUGCGGCGUUACUUCUUAUAUUAUUAAGUAGGCAGGAAUCUAUUAAUUUAUGUAAUUUAAGAGUGUGUUCCUUGCCAUUUCCACUUUUUCAAAAACUUACAAUAAAAUAAUAAAAAGGACAUAAAACUAUUAUAAACAUUGAUGUAAUAUCUACUGUCAUCUGAGGCCCUACUGCACAAUCUCCUGGUAUACUGCUUUUAUACCAGACAGGUUAGUCAGAUUCAUAGCUUUGCAAUCAUUUUGUUGGUGAAGGCUGCCUUGUAAGAUUCAGUGAAGGCAACAGGUUUAUGCAGUUUCAUUUGUUACAAUCCUUAAAAUGAAGGAAGCAGCCCAUUCAUUUAGGGGUAAUUCCAAUUCAGUGUACCUGCUUUUGUAAGGAACUACUUGGAGUUAAACAAGCCAUGGAAUUAUUUUUUUCUGUUCAUAAUUAAAAGUCUGCUUCCAAAGAAUUGACUGUUCAGUUCAAAUCAAUAUACAAAAUUCCUUUGAGUCACUGCAGCACUGCCUUUCUACUUCCCUUUGUUGUCUUCUCCCCACUUAUGCUUCAUCUCCUUUCCCUCUGGCUAUCUUUUAACUGCUCUACCUCCUGCCAUUUUUUCCCAGGUCUCAGCAAAAUCCACUAACUUCUGCUGUCUCCAGAUGUAUAAAUGCUAUUAUUCACAAAGGGUAUAUCUAUACCUGUGAUUCCCAACGUGGGCGCUACUGCCCCUUGGUGGGCGCUGGAGUGAUCCGGGGGGCGGUGAUGGCACCUAUUAGGACAUGGGAGUGGGGCCAGAGGAGGAGCAGGGCCUCUUCCCAAGUGCUGGAGUCAGGGUUAAGCACCUGAGGUGCCUGUUAAGACACACAGGGACAGAGCUAGAGGAGUAGGCGUGGCUUCUUCCCAAGAGCCCACGACAGGGCUGAGAAUCUAUACCUCACCUAAGGCGCAUGUUGGGACACAGAGGGUGGAGCUAGGGAAUGAGGCGGGGCCUCCUUCCAAGAGCCCGAGACAGAGCUGAGCCUCUAUACCUCUCCUGAGAGGCCUUUUAGGACUAAAGGGCGGGGCUAGGGAUGGGGGCAGGGCCUCUUCCCAAGAGCACAAGACAGGGCUGAGCCUCUGUAUACCUCCCCUGAGUCUCUAGCCCCUGCAGGCAAGCGCUGCAGGACAGGGAUAGAAGCUCAGCCCUGCCUCAGAGCUCAUAACUCCGGCCAUCCCAGUCCUGGCUGCACAUUUGUGGCCCCGCCCACCUCCCCCUCCCCCUCCCCCUCAGAGCCCUGCAUUUUGGACUAGGGGAGAGGCUUAGCCCCGCCCUCUUGAGCAGGAGCCACGCCCAUCCCUCUAAGACACACACCCCUUUCCAGAGGGCAUUAAGUCAUGUUUUUUCUGGAAAGGGGCAGCAAGUCAAAUAAGUUUGGGAACCACUGAUCUAUACUGUAGAAUAAUGCAGUUUGACACCACUCUAACUGCUCUGGUUCAAUGCUACGGAAUCCUGGGAUUGGUAGUUUUGUGAGGCAACAGCACUCUUUGGCAGAAAAGACUGAAAACCUUAUGAAACUACAACUCCAAUGCAUUAGUUCUACAGUGCAGAUGUGUCCAAAGCUGAGAACUUUUACUGGACCACAGGGAAACAAGUCUGCAGAGAUUCUGGCAAUUUCCUCUAACCCUUGGGUCAUAUAUGGACAUUCUUGGGUCAUAUAUGGACAUUCUGUGACAAUGCAGUGGAGCAGAUUGGGGCAGAUGUUCUUGAGGAAUUCAUCCAUUGCUGAUUCUUAUUUCAAAGGCCAGCUUUCUUACUACAGUAGAGUCUCACUUAUCCAAGCCUCGCUUAUCCAAGCCUCUGGAUUAUCCAAGCCAUUUUUGUAGUCAAUGUUUUCAAUAUAUUGUGAUAUUUUGGUGCUAAAUUCGUAAAUACAGUAAUUACAACAUAACAUUACUGCAUAUUGAACUACGUUUUCUGUCAAAUUUGUUGUAUAACAUGAUGUUUUGGUGCUUGAUUUGUAAAAUCAUAACCUAAUUUGAUGUUUAAUAGGCUUUUCCUUAAUCCCUCCUUAUUAUCCAACAUAUUCGCUUAUCCAAGCUUCUGCUGGCCCGUUUAGCUUGGAUAAGUGAGACUCUACUGUAUUUAAAAUAUAGUAAUGUGGUUUCAAAACAUAUACUAUAUGCAUAUUUUAUAAAUAUUUUAAUAGAAAAUAAGUACUGUAAUACAUAUAUUUUAUAAAAUUAAUGAUUAAUUCAAAAUGGAACACAAUUGUGGGUAAAAUUAUGUGUAAAAUCAUGGACCUGAAGCAGACACAUUCACUUAUUUCUAAUCAGUAUUACUAUUCAGAUGGGGGAUGGAAACAAGUGGAGAACAAAACCACAUACUAAAUGUAAUGAAAUUGUGAAAGCUACUUCCCUUAGAGUAAUUUUGGUUAUAGGACAGUAUCUGAGUAGUUGUAUGUGUAUGCCUGAUUUUUUUGGCGCUACACAUCCACUAACAACCUUCUCGUCUGAGGUCCUGAAUGUGUACAGAAUGUAUGUAUAUGGAAGGUCUUGGAAAAGAGAAGAUACUGGGCAGGCUGUGUCAAGUGUAGGGAAAGAUUAAGCAUUUCUCCGUUAUAAGAAAAUUCUCAUUUCUCCCCCUUCUAAAAUUCUCUUGCCUAGAAGAAGAAACCAUUAGAAACAUGUUAUCUGUCUCUUGCAAAAUCAGUUUUGUCAAAGAUAGUUAGUUUUCAUUUGCUAAAUACAAGUGCAUUCACUGUCAACAUGAAUAUGUGGAUGAAAUACUUCUUGAGUAAUCAGUUAUCCCAUAUUUCCCAGGCACUUGAAUAUUUCAGCUAAUCUUUUGGGAUCCUCUUGGCUCCCUUGUACUUCUCCCCCUAUAUUUAAAACUAUAGCCUCACUACAUGGUGGGGGGGGAUUGAUGAAGGACUAUAGAGGCACUUUUGGGGGGGAAUAUUACAGAGGAGGGUGACAUCUCUGUGAAUGCUCCUGAGAUCCUGAUUACUGAAGUGAUAUUGUAACCCACCCCUACACCACAUUUUAGUACAAUAUAGAUGGGGCCAGAGUCACUCAAAACCUGAGGGGUUCAAGUAAUUUUUUUCAGUUUUUAAGGAAUAAGUGCCUACUGCAUUUAGAGAGGCUGUAGUUCACUAUCUCUUGAAGUGGAGCACUCAGGUCCCAGAUGUAUGUCAGAAGUACUUGUGACUUUUCAAAGCUCUUGACUUAUUUAAAAAUCAUUUAUGGGAUAUUCAAUCCACUCUUUGUUUUUUUCAGCCUUUGUUGCUCUUAAGGGUUGCUAGAUCAUGAUGCUGUAAUGACUCUCAGAAUUCAAUAGAAUUUAGUCUCAAGAUCUAAGAACCAUUUAUUUUGCCUAUUAUGUCUUUUGAAUAAUUUUGGUAGCACAUAUCAUAUAUCUUUGUGACCAGAGAUUCAAUUAUGGCUCUUUCUGGGUUAGUCAAUUCUUGUUUCAGUUUUCUUUUACACGCAACAUACUGUGUAUGCUCUACCACUGCUGUUUCGCAAAUCAUGAUUAUUGAUAUGAGAGGCAAAAAGGAUGCAUUGAUUUAGUUCUGCAGAAAAUGAUCUGCAUAUGUUUAUAAUUCUGAUUAAGGGUUGUUCACCUUUGAUUUACUGACUGAUGUAACCAGCCACUUAUUUCUUCAUUUGUGUGUACUCUGGCUGAAGCAAAUACACAAUAAUUUUAACAUAAUUCCUUGCAUUUGAAUAGUAAAUGUAUACGUUUAUGAGAGUGAAGGCAUUUAGGCAGAUGUGUAGUGACAAACAUAGCCAGACAGGUUUAUGCUGAGAUCCCCUGCUUUAGGAGAAUCUUUCCCAGUAGUUUCCUAAUAUGCUGGAUUCCUACCAUCCCCAGACAAUAAUGGUCUCAUGCUCUUUGUAGGCCAUCUUGGGAAAAUCCAAUUGGGAAAAAAGAUGUUUAAAUGAGGAAACAAUUAAAGGAACCUAUAAUUAAAUGAAUUCCUCAAUAUCAGUGGUGUCCAUCUUCACAACUUCUUUUGGAAAAUCCAUGCUCUGUUCUAAAAAUUAAAUUAUAAGUUAAUUAACAAGAUUCUGCUAGUUUCCCCAUUUCUUUGAUUUUUUUAACAUUCACAUUCACAUAGACUUCCAUUACACCAUGAAUGUACAAAGUCAUUUUGUGAUGGGAAAUCUGUAUGGAUCUGUCUUCAGCUAUGAAGAAACCUGGUGGGAUGACUCCCAUCACUGGAAUGUAGCCAUUGAAGGCUAUAACCUCUUUCACAGAAAUAGAACAAAGGGGAGAGGAGGGGGAGUAGCUUUAUAUGUCAAAAACAGUUAUGUUGCAGAAGAAAUGCAAGACUGUAAUCCGGGAAACCAGCUUGAAAGCAUCUGGAUAAGAAUCAAGGGAACCGGGACUCAAAAAGAUCUCGUCGUGGGUGUCUACUACAGACCUCUGAACCAGGAUGGAGAACUUUAUGAAGCCUUCUGUCAGCAGCUGACCAAACAGGCAAAAAGAAGAGAUAUAGUAGUCAUGGGCGACUUCAACUAUCCUGAUAUAUGCUGGAAAACAAACUCGGCCAAGAGCACCAACAAAUUCCAACAAAUUCCUCACUUGCCUUGCAGACAAUUUUAUGGUCCAGAAGGUAGAAGAGGCAACAAGGGGAUCAGCUACUCUUGAUCUAAUCUUAACAAAUGUGGAAGACCUGAUCAAUACAGUCAGAGUGGUCGGAUCCUUAGGGGCAAGUGACCAUGUGCUCCUGCAGUUUGCCAUACAAAGGAAGGCUGAAACUAAGACAAGUCAAACACACAUUCUGGACUUUUAAGAGAGCUGAUUUCCAAAAAAUGAAGGAAAUACUGAGCGGCAUUCCAUGGACGCCAAUAUUAAAAGACAAGGGAGUUAAGGAUGGAUGGGAAUUUUUUAAAAGUGAAAUACUCAAGGCGCAAAUGCAAACAGUGCCAACAAAGAAAAAAAAAAUAUGACAAGUGAAAAGAAGCCAGAAUGGAUGUCCAAAGAACUUCUAACCGGGCUAAGACUCAAAAGAGACAUGCACAAGAAGUGGAAAAGGGGAGAAAUCACCAAAGAAGAAUUCAAACGUAUAGCCAACUCCUGUAGGGAAAAGGUUUGCAAGGCUAAAGCGCAAAAUGCGCUCAGGCUUGCCACGGACAUUAAAAACAACAAAAAAGGCUUUUUUGCUUACGUUGGUAGAAAAAGGAAGAACAAGGAGGCGAUAGGGCCUCUGCAAGGAGAAGAUGGGGUGAUGGCGACGGGGGAUAGGGAAAAGGCAGAACUGCUCAAUGCCUUCGUUGCCUCAGUCUUCUCACAAAAAGAAUGCCAUCUUCAAUCUCAGCAACAUGAAAUGGAUGAAGGAUUUUGGGAAAUCCAACCCCAAAUUGGGAGACAAGUUGUCCAGGAACAUCUGGCCACUCUAAACGAAUUCAAGUCCCCAGGGCCAGAUCAGCUACAUCCAAGAAUAUUGAAGGAACUAGCUGAGGUUAUUUCAGAACCACUGACCAUUAUCUUCAAGAGUUCUUGGAGAACAGGAGAAGUCCCCAAAGAUUGGAGGAGGGCAAAUGUGGCCCCUGUCUUCAAGAAGGGAAAAAAGAAUGACCCGGUCAGCCUCACAGCAAUACCAGGCAAGAUUCUGGAAAAGAUCAUUAAGGAAGUGGUCUGCAAACACUUAGAAACAAAUGCAGUCAUUGCUAAUAGUCAACACGGAUUUACCAAAAACAAGUCAUGCCAGACUAAUCUGAUCUCUUUUUUUGAUAGAGUUACGAGUUGGGUCGAUACAGGGAAUGCCGUGGAUGUAGCGUACCUAGAUUUCAGUAAGGCCUUCGACACAACCUUCUGGCAAACAAACUAGUAAAAUGUGGGCUAGACAAAACUACGGUUAGGUGGAUCUGUAAUUGGCUAAGUGAACGAACCCAAAGGGUGCUCACAAAUGCAUCGUCUUCAUCUUGGAAAGAAGUCAUGAGUUCCGUCCUGGGCCUGUUUCUGUUUAAUAUCUUUAUUAACGACUUAGACGAAGGAUUAGAAGGCACGAUCAUCAAGUUUGCAGAUGACACCAAACUGGGAGGGAUAGCCAACACUCCAGAAGACAGGAGUAGAAUUCAAAACAAUCUUGACAGACAAGAGAGAUGGGCCAAAACUAACAAAAUGAAGUUCAACAGGGAUAAAUGCAAGAUAUUUCAUUUCGGCAGAAAAAAUGGAAUGCAAAGAUACAGAAUGGGGGACGCCUGGCUACAUAGCAGUACUUGUGAAAAAGAUCUUGGAGUCCUUGUGGACAACAAGUUAAACAUGAGCCAACAAUGUGAUGCGGCUGCUAAGAAAGCCAAUGGGAUUCUGGACUGCAUCAAUAGGGGUAUAGCAUCUAGAUCCAGGGAAGUCAUGUUACCCCUCUGUUCUGCCUUGGUCAGGCCACACCUGGAAUACUGUGUUCAAUUCUGGGCACUGCAGUUGAAGGGAGAUAUUGACAAGCUGGAAUGAGGAGGAGGGCAACUAAAAUGAUCAAAGGUCUGGAGAACAAACCCUAUGAGGAGAGGCUUAAAGAACUGGGCAUAUUUAGCCUGCAGAAGAGAAGACUAAGAGGAGACAUGAUAGCCAUGUACAAAUAUGUGAGGGGAAGUCAUAGGGAGGAGGGAGCAAGCUUUUUUUCUGCUGCCCUGGAGACUAGGACACGGAACAAUGGCUUCAAACUACAGGAAAGGAGAUUCCACCUGAACAUCAGGAAGAACUUCCUCACUGUGAGGUCUGUUCGGCAGUGGAACUCUCUCCCCCAGACUGUAGUGGAGCCUCCUUCUUUGGAGGCUUUUAAACAGAGGCUGGAUGGCCAUCUGUCGGGGGUGCUUUGAAUGUAAUUUCCUGCUUCUUGGCAGGGGGUUGGACUGGAUGGCCCAUGAGGUCUCUUCCAACACUACUAUUCUAUGAUUCUAUGAUUCUAUGAAUCAGUAGUUUGGUUACUUUUAAAAAUGCAAUCUGUUGAUGCAGUAGUCAGUAUGGUUCUAAGGAUUUGUGAAAUGCUGAUAUUUGCUUUUGAUGAAUAAAAUGAAGACUUGUUCCAGAGUUGUAUUCCAUAUAUUAUAAGCAGAACAAGGACACAUUGUGUAGUACAUAUUGUGGCUUUUAUAGAUUGGGGAAGGGGGGGUAUUUGUACACAAUAGUAAGUUGUAACCAACCUUUUUGUUGGUUUGAUAGAUAUAUGAAUAGUUUUUUUCUCCUCGGUAGAGUUUUUUUCUCCCUAAAAUAGCUCACAAAAGUGACAAAGCAAUUCUGACAACAGUAUUUCUUGUGAUAUUAAUAUAGAGACUUCUCACUCUCAAAAUCUACAGAAAUGUCCAAGGACAAAUGCCUAAAUGUAAUGAACCAUACCUAAUGACUCCAUUAUUAAUUUUUCAGUGUAAUAUAAUCUCUAAACUAAUUUGUUUGGGAUUAAGAUGGUCAUGUACUUGAUAGCUAUUACACUGUAAUAAAGUGUUAUAAAGUGCUAGUUAACCAUUAGCCAAUCACUGCACUCUUUGUUAAUCACUGUAACCUUACAACUCAAGGGUGUAAUUUUGCCAUAAAUAAAAUUAAAAGGAUUCUCUAGUCUGACUUUGGUAAAUGGAAAAAUACCAAAGAAAGCAUACUGUGUUUUAAUAUUGUGUUGGAAAUCUAUCUGAAUUUCAUUUCUUUGUAAACUGUUAUCAAAGUAGCCUCAGUUUCAUACAGCAAGUGUAUCAGCUCUUGGAUGAUAGAAACUAACAUUCAUUUUGAAAUUUUAUGUACUGUAUCACACCAAAAAAAAAAAAAAAAACCAGUAUUCAGUCCUGUAUUUUUGAAAAUACAGACUUGCUCAUAAAAUGAUGCCCUUUUCCCCAGGGGCCACAAAUCUAUAUCUGGGUUGUAUUACUUUAAGCCCAAUGUUGAGAUUCAUAGAAUACUCUGUUAUCUGUUGUUACUCUGUUGUUUUUAAAUCCUGACCAUCAUGUUAUUGUAUUAAUUCUUCUUAAACAUUCCAUUACAUGCUCUGUAUUACUUCCAAUCAUUGUUCUUUUCAGGUACUCAGCUUUUAAUACCCGAAGCAUUAAAGAUUAAUGUCUAACAUAGUAACUGCCCAUGUAAAAGAAACCUAUGCCAGAUAACUUGAAAAUUAUUUUUCACAAAAA